rnacentral:rRNA from 1 species
GAUCCUGGCUCAGAACGAACGCUGGCGGCGUGGCUAACACAUGCAAGUCGAACGCGAACGGCUCUUCGGAGCUUAUUAGAGUGGCGAAAGGGCGAGGAAUACUUGGGUAACGUACCCUACACACCGGGAUAACUGUGGGAAACUACAGAUAAUACUGGAUGAGACCACGACUCGUAAGAGUUGUGCUCAAAGGGCGGGGAUCUCUUCGGAGACCCGUUGGUGUGGGAGCGGCCCAAGUCCUAUCAGGUUGUUGGUGAGGUAAUGGCUCACCAAGCCUACGACGGGUACCGGGACUGAGAGGUUGAUCCGGCGCAUUGGGACUGAGACACUGCCCAGACUCCUACGGGAGGCUGCAGUAACGAAUAUUGGACAAUGAGCGAAAGCUUGAUCCAGCGACGCCGCGUGUAGGAUGAAGUCCCUCGGGAUGUGAACUACUGUCAGGGACUACCAAGCAAGGACUGUUAAUACCGGUCUGCGUUGAGGAAUCCCAGAGGAAGCCACGGCUAACUUCGUGCCAGCAGCCGCGGUAAGACGAAGGUGCGAGCGUUGUUCGGAAUUACUGGGCUUAAAGCGCAUUUAGGCGGAUCAUCAGGUGUCUUGUGAAAGCCCUCGGCUCAACCGAGGAACUGCUGGGCAAACCGAUGAUCCUGAGGCAGGUAGGGGCAACGGGAACUCUUGGUGGAGCGGUGGAAUGCGUAGAUAUCAAGAGGAACGCCAGAGGCAAAGGCGCGUUGCUGGGCCUGUCCUGACGCUGAGAUGCGAAAGCGUGGGUAGCGAACGGGAUUAGAUACCCCGGUAGUCCACGCCCUAAACGAUGUCAACUAGAUCGAGGGUUCUCUGACGGAUUCUUGGUCGAAAUGAAAACGGUAAGUUGACCGCCUGGGGAGUACGGUCGCAAGGCUAAAACUCAAAGGAAUUGACGGGGGCUCACACAAGCGGUGGAGCAUGUUGCUUAAUUCGAUUCAACGCGAAGAACCUUAUCCUGGGCUUGACAUAUUUGGAUGACCAUCUGGAAACAGAGUAGUCUGCUCUUCGGAGUGAAACUUAUACAGGUGCUGCAUGGCUGUCGUCAGCUCGUGUCGUGAGAUGUUGGGUUAAGUCCCGUAACGAGCGAAACCCUUGUCGUUAGUUGCCAGCGCGUUAUGGCGGGGACUCUAGCGAGACUGCCGGUGUUAAACCGGAGGAAGGUGGGGAUGACGUCAAGUCCUCAUGGCCUUUAUGCCCAGGGCUGCAAACGUGCUACAAUGGCGUGUACAAACCGACGCAAGACCGCGAGGUGGAGCAAAUCGGAAAAAAACACGCCCCAGUUCGGAUUGGAGUCUGCAACUCGACUCCAUGAAGUCGGAAUCGCUAGUAAUCGCGUAUCAGCGUGACGCGGUGAAUGAGUUCCUGAGCCUUGUACACACCGCCCGUCAAGUCAUGGAAGCUGGUAGCACCCGAAGUCGCCCUAUUUCAGGGGUGCCGAAGGUGAGAUCGGUAACUGGGACUAAGUCGGAACAAGGUA